GUUGGCCUGGGACAACUUCUUAAGUUGCAGGCGCUGAAGGAGUUGGGUUCGCUCUAGAACCUGGUUUAAAUCACCUCAUCCCGAGAAGCCCUUGUGGGUGAAGGUUUGACUUGGAGUUUUCCGGACACGUCUAGGGUGGGCUAUUGUUGGUAAAUUUCAUUAUUUAGUCCAUAAGUUACAGAGGAAUGGAUAUCACCGUGAGGUUCUAAACUUAGAAAUGGAUGGACAGAUGUGGUAACUGAUGAAACAUUGGAUUGACUUCCUCAGAGGGUGACAGUGAAGUUAGUUAUCUAUUGACUUCCUACUGCACAAGAUAAGGAUUUGGUGUUUUAUUAUAAAGCAUAUAAUUAUAAAGAAUAGCCAGAUGGAAGAAAUGCAUAGGACUAGGUA